CAAAUUAUAUGAUCGUUAAAACACGAUUAUUCUCUAUAAUGACUGAAAAAAAAACAACCAAUAUCUAAUUUACUUACUCAAAAUCGUCGUACAUACGGUUUAUGAUCAGAUAGUAGUUCCAUAUAUAAAUACACAACUGACGGACAUUAGCUGUGAAAAUACGAAUAAUAAUUGUCCUUUAUAUGCGUUUUCGCGAUUAUAAUUACGGUAAACUAUUUUCGGACGCGUGAAUCUACGUAAUAUGAUUUGCAUUGAUUUGAUUUCGUGGAUGGGCGUUCUUAUCCCGAAGGUAAUCCCAAUUCCGUUUAUACACGGUGAUAAUUUUUUCACGAAUCAACAUUUAUGUACUGCGGAGAUUU